AGAAUAAACGCUGGCGGCGUGCCUAACACAUGCAAGUCGAGCGAGAAAGCUCCUUCGGGAGUAAGUACAGCGGCGAACGGGUGAGUAACACGUGAGAAUUUACCCUUUAGUGAAGAAUACCCUCGAGAAAUCGGGGUUAAUACUGCAUAAGUCCCUACGGGGAGAAAGGUGGCCUCUUUGCUACCGCUAAAGGAUAAGCUUGCGUACUAUUAGCUAGUUGGUGAGGUCAUGGCUCACCAAGGCGAUGAUGGUUAACCGGCCUGAGAGGGUGUACGGUCACACUGGAACUUAGACACGGUCCAGACUCCUACGGGAGGCAGCAGUGAGGAAUCUUGCGCAAUGGGCGAAAGCCUGACGCAGCGACGCCGCGUGGAGGAUGAAGGUCUUCGGAUUGUAAACUUCUGUUAAGCGGGACGAAAUACCUAUCCCUAAUAAAGAUAGGGGAUGACGGUACCGCUAAAGAAAGCACCGGCUAAACUCGUGCCAGCAGCCGC
rnacentral:rRNA from 1 species